ACACUUUUUAGUCAUUGGAGUUUUGAUGUCCAGAAAAUUGCCCCCAGGCCUUCAUUAUGUUGUCACUUUUUUUUAUUUUUUUUUUGGAUACAGACACGUACAAGAUAUGUGUUCUUCUGCAUAUGCCGAUUUUGAUCGCCAAAUCACCGGUGAAGUAUUAUUGAUAGUAUUACACAUGAGAAAAGACAAUAUAUGGUUUAUUUAAGAUUUGUCGAUGGUUAGUUUUAUAAUAAAACUUUGAAUCAUUAGUUUCAACAAUUUUUUAUGGUUUUCUUGAAAACGAUAUAAUUCUAGUA
rnacentral:lncRNA from 1 species